rnacentral:rRNA from 1 species
AGCUCCUACGGGGGGCAGCAGUAGGGAAUCUUCCACAAUGGGCGAAAGCCUGAUGGAGCAACGCCGCGUGGGUGAAGAAGGUCUUCGGAUCGUAAAACCCUGUUGUUAGAGAAGAAAGUGCGUGAGAGUAACUGUUCACGUUUCGACGGUAUCUAACCAGAAAGCCACGGCUAACUACGUGCCAGCAGCCGCGGUAAUACGUAGGUGGCAAGCGUUAUCCGGAUUUAUUGGGCGUAAAGGGAACGCAGGCGGUCUUUUAAGUCUGAUGUGAAAGACUGAAGCUUAACUUCAGUAAGCCA